AGGGUGUAAACGCUGCAGACUUGGUGUUGGGGGCCCUUUGGGGGCAUUCAGUGCCGGAGAGAAGUUGUUAAGUCUGCUACUUGGGGAGUACGUCCGCAAGGAUGAAACUUAAAGGAAUUGGCGGGGGGAGCACCACAACGGGUGGAGCCUGCGGUUUAAUUGGACUCAACGCCGGAAAUCUCACCAGGGAAGACUGUUACAUGAAGGCCGAGAUGAAGACUCUGCUAGAUUUUCAGAGAGGUGGUGCAUGGCGUCAGUGACU
rnacentral:rRNA from 1 species